rnacentral:rRNA from 1 species
UGCAGUCGAACGGUAACAUUUCUAGCUUGCUAGAAGAUGACGAGUGGCGGACGGGUGAGUAAUGCUUGGGAACUUGCCUUUGCGAGGGGGAUAACAGUUGGAAACGACUGCUAAUACCGCAUAAUGUCUUCGGACCAAACGGGGCUUAGGCUCCGGCGCAAAGAGAGGCCCAAGUGAGAUUAGCUAGUUGGUAAGGUAAUGGCUUACCAAGGCGACGAUCUCUAGCUGUUCUGAGAGGAAGAUCAGCCACACUGGGACUGAGACACGGCCCAGACUCCUACGGGAGGCAGCAGUGGGGAAUAUUGCACAAUGGGGGAAACCCUGAUGCAGCCAUGCCGCGUGUGUGAAGAAGGCCUUCGGGUUGUAAAGCACUUUCAGUUGUGAGGAAAAGUUAGUAGUUAAUACCUGCUAGCCGUGACGUUAACAGCAGAAGAAGCACCGGCUAACUCCGUGCCAGCAGCCGCGGUAAUACGGAGGGUGCGAGCGUUAAUCGGAAUUACUGGGCGUAAAGCGCACGCAGGCGGUUUGUUAAGCUAGAUGUGAAAGCCCCGGGCUCAACCUGGGAUGGUCAUUUAGAACUGGCAGACUAGAGUCUUGGAGAGGGGAGUGGAAUUCCAGGUGUAGCGGUGAAAUGCGUAGAUAUCUGGAGGAACAUCAGUGGCGAAGGCGACUCCCUGGCCAAAGACUGACGCUCAUGUGCGAAAGUGUGGGUAGCGAACAGGAUUAGAUACCCUGGUAGUCCACACCGUAAACGCUGUCUACUAGCUGUGUGUGUCUUUAAGACGUGCGUA